rnacentral:tRNA from 1 species
UCCCUGGUGGGUUAGCAGGUUAAGGCCCUGGCAUUCUUAUUGCUAUGGCACAGGUUUGAUCCCUGGCUUGGGAA